rnacentral:rRNA from 1 species
GUACACUCCUGCGGGAGGCAGCAGUGGGGAAUUUUGGACAAUGGGCGAAAGCCUGAUCCAGCAAUGCCGCGUGUGUGAAGACGGCCUUCGGGUUGUAAAGCACUUUUGUCCGGAAAGAAAUCCUUGGCUCUAAUACAGUCGGGGGAUGACGGUACCGGAAGAAUAAGCACCGGCUAACUACGUGCCAGCAGCCGCGGUAAUACGUAGGGUGCGAGCGUUAAUCGGAAUUACUGGGCGUAAAGCGUGCGCAGGCGGUUUGCUAAGACCGAUGUGAAAUCCCCGGGCUCAACCUGGGAACUGCAUUGGUGACUGGCAGGCUAGAGUAUGGCAGAGGGGGGUAGAAUUCCACGUGUAGCGGUGAAAUGCGUAGAGAUGUGGAGGAAUACCGAUGGCGAAGGCAGCCCCCUGGGCCAAUACUGACGCUCAUGCACGAAAGCGUGGGGAGCAAACAGGAUUAGAUACCCCAGUAGUCC